CGAGCGAGUUCAUCUUCCGGAUGUAGAGUACUCCGCUGUCCUGUACUCGCUCAAGACCCCCGCAUCGAAUUUUCUCUGCAAAUUUUCUUGAUAAUUGGUGAGGCAAAAUGUUCGCGAUACAAAAUGCUGUGAGACAUGGACUCGUUGUGAGUCGGCAAGCCGGACAGUGCAGGACAUUGCUUGUGGCACCUCCAAAAAACAGAGUUCCGUUAUACGAAAGAGUUGCAUUCGGGAUUUGCAUUGCGAUUGGCGUACUCUUCACCCCAGCAUGGAUUGCAUGUCAUUUCAAAGUAUAUACUGGUAAAGAGCCACAAGGGAAAUGAAUUACCACGAUAACUCUAGCACCACUCUAAUCUAGAUAAUUUCUAAAAAAGCUAUUAAUUCAAGUGCUGCUGUGAUUAAAACAAACGUCUACGAUAUAAUUUAUUCAACACAGAUGUAGAACGAGGGAAUUAAAUCUCUUAUAUAUAUU